AAGGCAUGCAUUAAAACAACCUGUUUGGCCUUCAAAUCUGCUGCACUUCACUUAGUAGUGCUGCUGCUAUCUCAGCAGGCAAUGCCACAGCCUAGUGCUUAGCCCAGCCACUCGGAAGAUGGAGGCAGGAUUCUUGCUAUCAGCUCAUCUCUUUUAGAUGAGAACAGAAGUCAAGUGAGUAGCAGCAUCUAUUGUCUGGAAAACAAGGCACUGAGGGAGCCCUGGGAGAGCAGCUGGAGGAGUGCAAAGCAGAUUUAUGAGUAUUAAACCAGAGAACAAAAAACUACGGCUAGUGAACAUUUUCUGUCAGCAUAUCCUGUUCUUACACCACACACACCCCAAUGAGACCUCUUUGUUUUGCUGUCAUUGAGGUGUUAUUUUGUCACACUGCAGCUGGCAGAGUCAAGACAUACAAAAGCAGAUGCUGGAAGUAACACAAUCAUUUAAGGUGAAGCCACAAAAUCCUCUGCUACAUCUUAGACUCCAAAAAGACCCGUACGAAGCUGCUGCCUCAAGCUGCCGCCUGCUGUUUUACAGGUACUGGGAUGUGCUGUGCCCCUGCUGUCACCCCAGGCAGAGGGGUCUAGACGGACAGCAGCAGCGUGACAUUCAGCAAAGGUAAAUGCUGUGUUCUGCCCCAGGACAGAGUAAUGCCAGACACAGGUACGGACAGGGAGGUGAGUGACCGGAGAGCAGCCCUGCAGAGAGGGAUCUGGGGGUGCUGGUUGACAGCAGGCUCCGCAUGAGCCAGCAGUGAGCCCUGGCCACCAAGAGGGCAAACCAAUUUUUGGGGGUGCAUUAAACACAGCGUAGCCAGCCGGUCACACGAGGGGAUUCUCCCACUGUGUUUAGUGCUGGUGAGGCCUUCCCCUGAAUAUUGUGUGCAGUUCCAGGCUCC
rnacentral:lncRNA from 1 species